AUAACCAGCAAAAUCUGGUAUCGGGAUUAGUACCCCGCACGAACUACAGGCGUAAUAACGCCAGCUUAUGCUGGUUUUUU
rnacentral:sRNA from 1 species